rnacentral:rRNA from 1 species
CUACGGGUCGCUGCAGUGGGGAAUAUUGCACAAUGGAGGAAACUCUGAUGCAGCAACGCCGCGUGGAGGAUGACACUUUUCGGAGCGUAAACUCCUUUUAUAUAGGAAGAAGAUGACGGUACUAUAUGAAUAAGCGCCGGCUAACUCCGUGCCAGCAGCCGCGGUAAUACGGAGGGCGCAAGCGUUACUCGGAAUCACUGGGCGUAAAGAGCGUGUAGGCGGAUUAAAAAGUCAGAAGUGAAAUCCUAUAGCUUAACUAUAGAACUGCUUCUGAAACUCUUAAUCUAGAAUAUGGGAGAGGUAGGUGGAAUUUCUGGUGUAGGGGUAAAAUCCGUAGAGAUCAGAAGGAAUACCGAUUGCGGAGGCGAUCUACUAGAACAUUAUUGACGCUGAGACGCGAAAGCGUGGGGAGCAAACAGGAUUAGAUACCCCCGUAGUC